UGCCAGACUCCUACGGGAGGCAGCAGUGGGGAAUAUUGCACAAUGGGGGAAACCCUGAUGCAGCAACGCCGCGUGAGUGAAGAAGUAUUUCGGUAUGUAAAGCUCUAUCAGCAGGGAAGAAAAUGACGGUACCUGACUAAGAAGCCCCGGCUAACUACGUGCCAGCAGCCGCGGUAAUACGUAGGGGGCAAGCGUUAUCCGGAUUUACUGGGUGUAAAGGGAGCGUAGACGGCAAUGCAAGCCAGAUGUGAAAGGCCGGGGCUCAACCCCGGGACUGCAUUUGGAACUGUGUAGCUGGAGUGUCGGAGAGGCAGGCGGAAUUCCUAGUGUAGCGGUGAAAUGCGUAGAUAUUAGGAGGAACACCAGUGGCGAAGGCGGCCUGCUGGACGAUGACUGACGUUGAGGCUCGAAAGCGUGGGGAGCAAACAGGAUUAGAUACCCGAGUAA
rnacentral:rRNA from 1 species